CAGUAGCCGCGGUAACACGGAGGGGGCUAGCGUUGUUCGGAAUUACUGGGCGUAAAGCGUGCGUAGGCGGUGAGUUAAGUCUGCUGUGAAAUCCCCGGGCUCAACCUGGGAAUGGCAGUGGAUACUGGCUCGCUAGAGUGUGUCAGAGGAUGGUGGAAUUCCCGGUGUAGCGGUGAAAUGCGUAGAGAUCGGGAGGAACAUCAGUGGCGAAGGCGGCCAUCUGGGACAACACUGACGCUGAGGCACGAAAGCGUGGGGAGCAAACAGGAUUAGAUACCCCAGUAGUCCCUGUCUCUUAUAC
rnacentral:rRNA from 1 species